AUGGGCCAUGGCCCGCCCAUCCCACAGCAAAUGCAGUGUCAGAUUGAAGUAAACUGGGCCAUGAGAACAAAAACUAGUGAUCUUCCUUCAUGCCGGCCCGCCCAGCUUUGGCUGUAUAGCUCCGCCACUGGUGACACGCUUACCAAAGGAUUGGUACAGAGGAUAGGAGAUGGACAAAGUACACUGAUAUGGCAACAGAACUGGUUACCUAGGCCGUAUAAUAUGCGCCCCAUUAUGAGCAAAGUCACGAACCCUCCCCAGCUCGUGCGAGUCUUCAUUCUCCCGGGGGCGGAAUGGGAUCAAGAGGCCAUCGAAGAGAUCUUCAUACCAACGGAUGCCGUCUCAAUACAGUCGAUACCACUCUGUACAAGACAGAUGGAUGACUUCUGGUCUUGGAUUCAUGAGAAAAACAGACUAUUCUCAGUUCGUUCGGCCUACGGGAUGUUAGUUGCAACAAAACUGAGAUGUGAGGCCUGGUUAGAGGGGUGGUCUGAUUCAUCUAACGAGGAGGGUGAGCAGAAGGCUUGGUCUAAGCUUUGGAAGAUUGAUGUUCCUUCAAAGAUUAAAAUCUUCUUGUGGCGUCUAGCCCAACAAUCAAUUCCGACAGCAAACCUCCUUCAUCAUAGAAAUAUGUCUACUGUAUCUUCUUGCGGACUAUGUGGAGCGAAGGAUUCUUGGCAACAUACUCUGCUGCACUGCGCGGUUGCGAGAUGUGUAUGGGCUCUUCAAAACCCUGACCUCGUGGAAGAUGUUAAUAGCAUCAGAGAGCCAGAUGUGAAACUGUGGGUUUUUGAACUACUGGAAGCUCUUCUGUCCAAAGAUUUUAAUCAGGCAUUGAUCAGUCCAUGGGCUAUAUGGCACUCAAGGCGCAAAGCUCUUCGUGAGAAUAUUUUUCAGAGCCCUCAAGCAACACACGGUUUUAUCAUGAAGUAUUUGCAUGAGCUUGAAGAAUGCAAACUGAAGAAAACCCCAUUGCUGAUUCUGCUACUACGCCGCGACAACAUCGCAAAAGGAGUCGUCAUGGGGGCGUCGGCCAUUAGAUGCUAUGGCAUCACAGACCCGGCAACUCUCGAAGCUCUUUCUUGCCGAGAGGCACUAGCGCUGGCACAAGACCUGGCAUUAUCACAUGUUGUCAUAGCUUCGGAUAGCCAAGGGGUGGUGCGUGAUAUUGUCCAAGGAUCUGGAGGAAUGUAUGCAAGCACCGUAAAGGAGAUUACGGCUACUUCCGUGCAAUUUCAGCAUUGUACCUUCAUCUUUGAUGGCCGAUUUCAGGAACACUUUUCACCACAAAGUCACAAUGAUUACGAAUCUUACCCCCUACGAGUCCGGUCUCCGGGGGCGCUAAUACCAAUACCAGCCUCCUCCGUCGCAUUCCUUCCUUUCUCCUCCCUUCUAGUCACGUCGUGCCAUCCGCAAGAUCACUUGAAGUCCAGGUUUGUGGGCAUGCGAGGAGGCGUCAGCUGCCAGCCAUCGUGGGAGAAGGAGGAUGGCGCCGCUCAUCGACACGUCGCCGUCGUUUCCUACGCUGGAGACAAGUGCCGGGAUGGCGGGCGAGACUCUCUCCUCUCCCCUUUCUCCCUCAUCAACGCCGUGUUGGGCCAUUCCGAGCUGCUUCCAGCUAGAGCGCACAAAGUCCUCCCCCUCCAAAUCCUCUCUAUUUAUCACCACCAUUCCUCUCCGAUCUCCUCCAAGCUUGCUUCAUUCCUUCUGCGCUCCGUCGAGCUCCCACGGGUCAUCAACUCCAGCGACGGCGGCCGGAUCGAGCGCGAUCCACGACCGCAACGCGCCUUCGCUUCAUCACCACAUAGGAAAGAGGUGAAGGUCAGCUAUGAAGGGGAGCAGGCUGAUUACUCUUCUGUUUCUCGGGUAUCUCGCAGCAGCUGGACAGUGAAUGCCAAGCAAAUUGCCCAACCUGCACCCCGAAUUGCCCACCGGGCUCGGCAAUUGAAUUUGAAGCAUGCACAUGAGUGCUUGAAUUAUUAUGUUCAUGUUCGAUACUUUUGUGCGUCCAAUCUGACACCACCGUAUCGCUCGUCGAUCGUCCUCCACUCGCCAACACAUGGGCCAAAGACCAAAGCCCAACCCCGAGAACGAGCCAGCCUACACGCUGCCAUCAGUACGCGCUCGCCGCCGCAGCCGCCGCCGUGCUCUCUCUCCAUCUCGUGCGCUUCCCCACCGAAUCAAUCCAUCUAUCCGUACUCCUCGCUCUCUUCCUCCUGGGACUCGUCAGAUCUGCACGGGUGGUGGCUAACCCCACCGGAUGCUCGACCUGGAUGCACUCCGCCUACACGAGGGCGGUGCCAAGACAGGCAGCAACAGUAUGAGCUUGCUACUUUAUCUGAUGCAGUUGGUGCAACAUUGAACCAUUCUUCUAUCUUGGCGCAGAUCAUGGCUGGAGGUAAUCUGGUUUUGGCAGUGAAGUUCCAAUUGCAGAAAGAACGGAGGAAACACAACAAGCUUAAGCCUGUUAAUUGCCGUAACAAACUCCCCGCCCAAUCUCCCAAUCAUCCAUGCAUGAUGCAUAGUCACCGAUCACCUAAAUCAUGUUGCUGA
rnacentral:rRNA from 1 species